AUUGAACGCUGGCGGCAUGCCUUACACAUGCAAGUCGAACGGUAACAGGUUAAGCUGACGAGUGGCGAACGGGUGAGUAAUGUAUCGGAACGUGCCCAGUCGUGGGGGAUAACUGCUCGAAAGAGCAGCUAAUACCGCAUACGACCUGAGGGUGAAAGCGGGGGAUCGCAAGACCUCGCGCGAUUGGAGCGGCCGAUAUCAGAUUAGGUAGUUGGUGGGGUAAAGGCCUACCAAGCCUACGAUCUGUAGCUGGGCUGAGAGGACGACCAGCCACACUGGGACUGAGACACGGCCCAGACUCCUACGGGAGUCAGCAGUGGGGAAUUUUGGACAAUGGACGCAAGUCUGAUCCAGCCAUGCCGCGUGUGUGAAGAAGGCCUUCGGGUUGUAAAGCACUUUCAGUAGGGAGGAAGCGUUGUGUGUUAAUAGUACACAGCGUUGACGUUACCUACAGAAGAAGCACCGGCUAACUCUGUGCCAGCCGCCGCCGUAACAC
rnacentral:rRNA from 1 species